ACUGACAUUCUACGUCCAGCCUGCCCGGUGAUAUAAUUUAACGGCCGCGGUAUACUGACCGUGCGAAGGUGCCAUACUCACUUGUUCUUUAAAUGGGGACUAUUAUGAAUGGCACCUCGAAGGCUUUACUGUCUCCUCUCUUCAAUCUAUGAAACUGACCUCGCUGUAAAUAUGAUAGGUUACUACUAUGUGACGUUUUUGCCCUAUGGGC
rnacentral:rRNA from 1 species